rnacentral:rRNA from 1 species
UGCGUAGGCGGUCCCGCAAGUCCGCUGUGAAAUCCCCGGGCUUAACCUGGGAAUGGCAGUGGAAACUAGGGGACUUGAAUCCGGCAGAGGGGGGUGGAAUGCCACGUGUAGCAGUGAAAUGCGUAGAGAUGUGGCGGAACACCGAUGGCGAAGGCAGCCCCCUGGGUUGAGAUUGACGCUCAGGCACGAAAGCGUGGGGAGCAAACAGGAUUAGAUACCCUGGUAGUCCACGCCCUAAACGAUGAUCACUAGGUGUUGGGGAAGCGGUUUCUCAGUACCGCAGCUAACGCGUGAAGUGAUCCGCCUGGGGAGUACGGUCGCAAGAUUAAA